GCUGGGUACGGUGGCACAUACCUGUAAUCCCAGUGGCUUGGAGGCUGAGGCAGGAGGAUUGCAAGUUCAAGCCAGCCUCAG
rnacentral:sRNA from 1 species